rnacentral:rRNA from 1 species
GUGCCAGCAGCCGCGGUAAUACGUAGGUGGCAAGCGUUGUCCGGAAUUAUUGGGCGUAAAGGGCUCGCAGGCGGUUUCUUAAGUCUGAUGUGAAAGCCCCCGGCUCAACCGGGGAGGGUCAUUGGAAACUGGGGAACUUGAGUGCAGAAGAGGAGAGUGGAAUUCCACGUGUAGCGGUGAAAUGCGUAGAGAUGUGGAGGAACACCAGUGGCGAAGCGACUCUCUGGUCUGUAACUGACACUGAGGAGCGAAAGCGUGGGGAGCGAACAGGAUUAGAUACCGUUGUAGUCC